UCAUCCUGUGGAGGAGUCUAUAGGGGGGUCUGUAUCCAGGAUCAGCAAUGUUUAGGAAGAUGGGAAGGUUGGAGAAGGAAAACACAAAUGAAAAGAGCCAAAGAGAACGGUGCUAUGAUCCAGAUCUGUAGCAAAGGGAUGCUGGCCCUUGAUGAACUCAGGGACAUGAGCUACCUGCUUGAGACUUUUCACUCUAGGCUGCUGCCCAAUGAUGCACCUUGUCCCCAAGCAUCAUUCUCCCAGACCAGGUCACUGCCCAGUGCACUGCCCUUCCUGUACCCACUCCAACUCCACACACCACUCAGCAACAUUCUUCUUUCCCUGAUCAUCAAAUAUGGUGGCCAUAGCUUCAUCCUGGCCCUGGCCCUCUGCCUAGCUGUGACUGGGGAGCUGGGGAGCUGGAGCCAUGGUCCUGGGGGUCCUUGAAUAGAUGCCUUUGAGCUUUUAGCACUGGAAGAGGAGGCAGCUGAGCCCAGAGGAUAAUACAGCCAAUGGUCAUGAUAUUUCUUGGACUUUGAACCGUCCAAAUUACAAGGUUCUACUGGGCACCACUGCUCAAGUGGAUUCCUCCACCUCCUGUCCUCUCCAACCAGCUCUUCAUUGACCUACACAUUGAGUAUGAAUAAAAUCUCCUGAAAACACGCAUUCAAUCUUGCUAGACACCAGCCCAAAAAUCUUUAUGGCUCCCUCCUUACCUUAUCUGCCCCAUUAGGAGUAAGCAUACAUCUACAACUAGAUUCAUUCUUUACCUCCAAUGCUUCUUUGUAUGAUUACACCCAUCAGCAUCUGGCUGAGGCCCCACGGCACAGAGACGGAUGAACCAUGGACUCUACACUUAAUGAGCCACAGUUUGAGGGAUGGAAACACUACACACACCCUGGACCUGGCCAUGCUUUACUUUUCUUUG